rnacentral:rRNA from 1 species
UACGUGGGGUGCAAGCGUUGUUCGGAAUUACUGGGCGUAAAGGGCUCGUAGGCGGCCAACUAAGUCAGACGUGAAAUCCCUCGGCUUAACCGGGGAACUGCGUCUGAUACUGGAUGGCUUGAAUCCGGGAGAGGGAUGCGGAAUUCCAGGUGUAGCGGUGAAAUGCGUAGAUAUCUGGAGGAACACCGGUGGCGAAGGCGGCAUCCUGGACCGGCAUUGACGCUGGGGAGCGAAAGCCAGGGGAGCAAACGGG